CGGCUGCCGGCGGUAGACCUACUGCUGAGGAAAGUCCCCUCACCUUCUGGACCGCGGACACAUUCAAGUGUGUAGGGUGAGAAUCCUGGCUCUGGAACAGAAACGAUACCGCAGCGCAGAAAUGCGAUGAUUUCGAAAGAAUGAGGUCAUGCGUUUUGCGGAUGGAACGGCGAAUCCCCGCGGGUGCAAGCCGAAAUAGGAUAAAAGGG
rnacentral:RNase_P_RNA from 1 species